GACGGAGGAUGCAAGCGUUAUCCGGAAUGAUUGGGCGUAAAGCGUCCGCAGGUGGCAGUUCAAGUCUGCUGUCAAAGACCGGGGCUUAACUUCGGAAAGGCAGUGGAAACUGAACAGCUAGAGUAUGGUAGGGGCAGAGGGAAUUCCUGGUGUAGCGGUGAAGAUGCGUAGAGAUCAGGAAGAACAUCGGUGGCGAAGGCGCUCUGCUGGACCAUAACUGACACUCAGGGACGAAAGCUAGGGGAGCGAAUGGG
rnacentral:rRNA from 1 species